AUUUAUAUACUAUAAUCCAUAUCUGAUUUCGUCUUUUUAGGCUAUCAUUUUUUGGUGGCCUCCAUCUCUGUUCUUGCCCACAUCGGAUCUGGGAUUUCCUUGCUUUGUCUUCAAGGGUUUUGUUCAAUCCUGGACUUUUAUUUGGAGAUUGGCGUUAUGGGGAUUCGUUGCUGAUCUCUAGUUGAUUAUUAGUGGAAAGGCAACACAGGCGUGAAAAAUAAGUUGCUUUUGCAAUUAUUGAAGAUCGAUAAGCUCCAUUGCAAGUUAAAACUGGAAAGUGUUGUUUACUUGAUGCAGUUAGAUAUCUUUAUUGGUAAUGGUCGCCAUAACAUAUAAUUUGUCUAGUAAAUUUUCAAUUUCCUGAAUGGGUUGACUUUGAGGAUUGAAUUCUUUAAAUAGUUUGUGAAUACAUAGGGGCGUUAGUCAUUUUGCGAGUAAGGAGAAGGUAAAAAAUCAGAGUGGGUUUGGCAGCUAGAAAUGGAUCGUGUAAUUCUAAAAGAGAGAGAUUUUGAGGUUGAUCUUGAAAAUGGAGUGCAAGCUAGUGAUGAAGAUCAAAGCAAAGACUCUAUUUCUGGUGUAAAAAUACAAUCGAAGGAGUUGCUUGCUAAGAUUUGUGCCAUCUUUGCUGAUGGAGCAAUGAAGAGUGAAGACGAGUUAAUUCUAUGCCCUCAUGCACCGAAUUCAAAUGGGGUUUCUGUGGAGCAAGUAAACUUAGAUGGAGAGAAAACUGUUGAUCAUGUAGAGAAGAAAGUGGUAAAGGAGAAGCGUAAAAAGAUGAGAAUUAAAAAGGCUUCCAAACCUCCUAGGCCUCCGAGAGGUCCAUCAUUGGAUGCUGCUGACCAGAUGCUGAUCAAGGAGAUUACUGAACUUGCUAUGUUGAAGCGUGCGAGGGCUGAGCGAAUGAAAGCCUUCAAGAAAAUGAAAGCAGCAAAGGCAUCAUCAUCUAAUAGCAAUGUCUUUGCAAUGGUGUUCACAAUUAUCUUCUGUUUAGUGAUAAUCUUUCAAGCAAUGUCAUCGAGGGUUACACCUGUAAAUGUACAAGGAUCCCCUUUAUCAACAGAAACGGCGGAGAGUGGUUUGAUUACAGUGCGGUACUUUGGGAAUCCAUCUGCAAGUAACCCAAGUGAACAUUCUUCCGAGUCUCCAUAUUCUAUAAAGCCAAUUGCUGGUUUUGAUCCUCCUGAAAAUCUGAGAAGAGCUGUGGGAUAAAACAGAGAAAAUCUGUAAUGUUAUAGUCAAUCUUACAUUUGAGAAAGAAUAUUGCUAGGUCUUUCAGUUCUCAUGCAAGCAUUAUAUGACUUGCACUU
rnacentral:misc_RNA from 1 species